GACGAACGCUGGCGGCGUGCUUAACACAUGCAAGUCGAGCGGAGCGGCGAACGGGUGAGUAACGCGUGAGUAACUGCCCCCCUCUCUGGGAUAACAGUUGGAAACGGCUGCUAAUACCGGAUAGUGGGGGAUGACUCGGGUCCUAGCAGCUUGUUGGUGGGGUAGGGGACUACCAAGGCGACGACGGGUGGCCGGCCUGGGAGGGCGACCGGCCACAUUGGGCUGAGGUACGGCCCAAACUCCUACGGGGGGCAGCAGGUGGGAAUAUUGCACAGUGGGGGAAACCCUGAUGCAGCAACGCCGCGUGCGUGAUGACGGCCUGCUGGUUGGAAACCGCUUUCAGCCAUGACGCGGUAGUGGCAGAAGAAGCACCGGCUAACUACGUGCCAGCAGCCGCGGUAAUUC
rnacentral:rRNA from 1 species